rnacentral:lncRNA from 1 species
AGAAAUCUAGCUAAGUUGCGGAACUUGCCAUUCCAUUCAACAUAGAGCUCUUUGAGUUUCUUGAUGACCUGCUGAUCUUCAUCUAAGGUCGCCCUAGCCUCUCUAUACAACCUUUUCCAAUACACACAAUCAUUCUUUAGGAGCAAGUAGGCUGCAUCAUCUUCUUGGCUCUCCAAAACUGCAAACCUCCUAUUAGCUUCUUCCAACUGGUACUUGAGGUGGUGACUGUUUCUUUCAG